rnacentral:lncRNA from 1 species
CUAAAAUUCUAAAAAAUUUGCAUUUGAAAAAUUAGGUUGUUUUGAUGCUGACUAUAUUGUCUGAAACAAAUGGAACCAACUGUAUAAAUCCUGGAUGAGCCCGGGAAAUAUCCCAUUAUGAACACAACAGAUUUGAGAUCCUCAGGGCUCCUGGGGUUGUUCAUUUAUCAUCUAUCAUCUACUAAGAGUAGGAAGCUCAAAAUAAGGACAUUGACACUUUAACCAGCAUUCUUGGUAUUUCCCGUGCACAGUGCUGGGGAUACAAAAGAAUGAGCUUCCGCCUCUACCGGGGCAGUAGUUAAGGCAUCCAAAUUAUUUGUUGUGGAGAGGGGAGUCAAAUCUGUGUAAGCCCCGACACGAGUCAGAGACCUCAGAAAUUCAGGAUUUCCACCUCAACCAGAGAUACCUAGAAGGACACUAUUCAGAUGGAUGUGACACAUUUUGGCUGAAAUGGGUGAAUGUAAGUUUGAUCUUCUUGUCAAAUUUCAUCCAGGUGGAUAAUUUCCUACUUGUUUAAAUACACUCUGCAGUGUUAACUGUCUUUUUUUUUUUUCUUUUUUUUCUUUUUUUUUUUUCCUUAAGCUCACAUUCUGCUUUGCAGCUCUUGUACUGUUAAAUAUUUUCUGCAUUUCCUCUCCUGUGUAGCUGCAUUUCCCUGAGUUCAGUAGUGUGUUAGUGACUAUGGUAUCUUUAUAUAUGUAAGAGAGAGCCUGGGGAUCUGUAAAAUCAUUUGGGUUACUGCAAGAUCAUCAGUGCUACAAGAAGGAUUAUUUUUAGUGACUGAGAAGUUUUUGCAUAGCAAGGUGUAAUUACAUACAUAAUGUGACUACUCUGUAUGUCAAAUUAUUU